UACGUAGGGAGCAAGCGUUGUCCGGAAUCAUUGGGCGUAAAGCGCGCGUAGGCGGCCCGAUAAGUCCGCUGUGAAAGUCAACGGCUCAACUGUUGGAUGCCGGUGGAUACUGUCGGGCUAGAGUACGGAAGAGGCAAGUGGAAUUCCUGGUGUAGCGGUGGAAUGCGCAGAUAUCAGGAGGAACACCGAUUGCGAAGGCAGCUCGCUGGGACGUUACUGACGCUGAGACGCGAAAGCGUGGGGAGCAAACAGG
rnacentral:rRNA from 1 species